rnacentral:rRNA from 1 species
AACGAACGCUGGCGGCAUGCCUAACACAUGCAAGUCGAACGAGACCUUCGGGUCUAGUGGCGCACGGGUGCGUAACGCGUGGGAACCUGCCCUUAGGUUCGGAAUAACUCCCCGAAAGGGGUGCUAAUACCGGAUAAUGUCUUCGGACCAAAGAUUUAUCGCCUUUGGAUGGGCCCGCGUUGGAUUAGCUAGUCGGUAGGGUAAAAGCCUACCAAGGCGACGACCCAUAGCUGGUCUGAGAGGAUGAUCAGCCACACUGGGACUGAGACACGGCCCAGACUCCUACGGGAGGCAGCAGUGGGGAAUAUUGGACAAUGGGCGAAAGCCUGAUCCAGCAAUGCCGCGUGAGUGAUGAAGGCCUUAGGGUUGUAAAGCUCUUUUACCCGGGAUGAUAAUGACAGUACCGGGAGAAUAAGCUCCGGCUAACUCCGUG